rnacentral:rRNA from 1 species
CCUACGGGUGGCAGCAGUGAGGAAUAUUGGUCAAUGGGCGAGAGCCUGAACCAGCCAAGUCGCGUGAGGGAGUACUGCCCUAUGGGUUGUAAACCUCUUUUGUCGGGGAGCAAAAGCCGGACGUGUCCGGCUGUGAGAGUACCCGAAGAAAAAGCAUCGGCUAACUCCGUGCCAGCAGCCGCGGUAAUACGUAGGGGGCAAGCGUUAUCCGGAUUUACUGGGUGUAAAGGGAGCGUAGACGGUGCGCCAAGUCUGGAGUGAAAUGCCGCAGCUUAACUGCGGAACUGCUUUGGAAACUGGCGAACUAGAGUGCAGGAGAGGUAAGCGGAAUUCCUAGUGUAGCGGUGAAAUGCGUAGAUAUUAGGAGGAACACCGGUGGCGAAGGCGGCUUACUGGACCGUAACUGACGUUGAGGCUCGAAAGCGUGGGGAGCAAACAGGAUUAGAUACCCUUGUAGUC